rnacentral:rRNA from 3 species
UAAAACUCAAAUGAAUUGACGGGGGCCCGCACAAGCGGUGGAGCAUGUGGUUUAAUUCGAUGCAACGCGAAGAACCUUACCUGGUCUUGACAUCCACAGAAGAAUCCAGAGAUGGAUUUGUGCCUUCGGGAACUGUGAGACAGGUGCUGCAUGGCUGUCGUCAGCUCGUGUUGUGAAAUGUUGGGUUAAGUCCCGCAACGAGCGCAACCCUUAUCCUUUGUUGCCAGCGGUUAGGCCGGGAACUCAAAGGAGACUGCCAGUGAUAAACUGGAGGAAGGUGGGGAUGACGUCAAGUCAUCAUGGCCCUUACGACCAGGGCUACACACGUGCUACAAUGGCGCAUACAAAGAGAAGCGACCUCGCGAGAGCAAGCGGACCUCAUAAAGUGCGUCGUAGUCCGGAUUGGAGUCUGCAACUCGACUCCAUGAAGUCGGAAUCGCUAGUAAUCGUGGAUCAGAAUGCCACGGUGAAUACGUUCCCGGGCCUUGUACACACCGCCCGUCACACCAUGGGAGUGGGUUGCAAAAGAAGUAGGUAGCUUAACCUUCGGGAGGGCGCUUACCACUUUGUGAUUCAUGACUGGGGUGAAGUCGUAACAAGGUAACCGUAGGGGAACCUGCGGUUGGA